rnacentral:rRNA from 1 species
AUACGGAGGAUGCGAGCGUUAUCCGGAUUUAUUGGGUUUAAAGGGUGCGCAGGCGGGCGAUUAAGUCAGCGGUGAAAGGCUCGGGCUCAACCGGAGCAGUGCCGUUGAUACUGGUUGUCUUGAAUGCGGUCAAGGCCGGCGGAAUGUGGCGUGUAGCGGUGAAAUGCAUAGAUAUGCCACAGAAAACCGAUAGCGAAGGCAGCUGGCCGGGCCUGCAUUGACGCUGAGGCACGAAAGCGUGGGGAUCGAACAGGAUUAGAUACCCUGGUAGUCCACGCUGUAAACGAUGGACACUCGUUGUCGGCGACAGACAGUCGGCGGCCAAGCGAAAGUGAUAAGUGUCCCACCUGGGGAGUACGGUCGCAAGGCUGAAACUCAAAUGAAUUGACGGGG